rnacentral:rRNA from 1 species
UGGGGAAUUUUGCGCAAUGGGCGAAAGCCUGACGCAGCAACGCCGCGUGGGUGAUGAAGGUCUUCGGAUCGUAAAACCCUGUCGUCAGGGACGAAGGUUGCGAGUUUAAGAGAUGCGCAACUUGACGGUACCUGGAGAGGAAGCCCCGGCUAACUCUGUGCCAGCAGCCGCGGUAAUACAGAGGGGGCAAGCGUUAUUCGGAAUUAUUGGGCGUAAAGGGCGCGUAGGCGGUUUGUUAAGUCAGAUGUGUAAUCCCCGAGCUCAACUUGGGAACUGCAUCUGAGACUGGGAGACUAGAGUACUGGAGAGGGUGGUAGAAUUCCACGUGUAGCGGUGAAAUGCGUAGAGAUGUGGAGGAAUACCAGUGGCGAAGGCGGCCACCUGGACAGUAACUGACGCUGAGGCGCGAAAGUGUGGGUAGCAAACA